AGAGUUUGAUCCUGGCUCAGGAUGAACGCUAGCGACAGGCUUAACACAUGCAAGUCGAGGGGCAGCACAGGUAGCAAUACCGGGUGGCGACCGGCGCACGGGUGAGUAACGCGUAUGCAACUUGCCUAUCAGAGGGGGAUAACCCGGCGAAAGUCGGACUAAUACCGCAUGAAGCAGGGGCCCCGCAUGGGGAUAUUUGCUAAAGAUUCAUCGCUGAUAGAUAGGCAUGCGUUCCAUUAGGCAGUUGGCGGGGUAACGGCCCACCAAACCGACGAUGGAUAGGGGUUCUGAGAGGAAGGUCCCCCACAUUGGUACUGAGACACGGACCAAACUCCUACGGGAGGCAGCAGUGAGGAAUAUUGGUCAAUGGCCGAGAGGCUGAACCAGCCAAGUCGCGUGAGGGAUGAAGGUUCUAUGGAUCGUAAACCUCUUUUAUAAGGGAAUAAAGUGCGGGACGUGUCCCGUUUUGUAUGUACCUUAUGAAUAAGGAUCGGCUAACUCCGUGCCAGCAGCCGCGGUAAUACGGAGGAUCCGAGCGUUAUCCGGAUUUAUUGGGUUUAAAGGGAGCGUAGAUGGAUGUUUAAGUCAGUUGUGAAAGUUUGCGGCUCAACCGUAAAAUUGCAGUUGAUACUGGAUAUCUUGAGUGCAGUUGAGGCAGGCGGAAUUCGUGGUGUAGCGGUGAAAUGCUUAGAUAUCACGAAGAACUCCGAUUGCGAAGGCAGCCUGCUAAGCUGCAACUGACAUUGAGGCUCGAAAGUGUGGGUAUCAAACAGGAUUAGAUACCCUGGUAGUCCACACGGUAAACGAUGAAUACUCGCUGUAGGCGAUAUACAGUCUGCGGCCAAGCGAAAGCAUUAAGUAUUCCACCUGGGGAGUACGCCGGCAACGGUGAAACUCAAAGGAAUUGACGGGGGCCCG
rnacentral:rRNA from 1 species